GACGAACGCUGGCGGCGUGCCUAAUACAUGCAAGUAGAACGCUGAAGGAGGAGCUUGCUUCUCUGGAUGAGUUGCGAACGGGUGAGUAACGCGUAGGUAACCUGCCUGGUAGCGGGGGAUAACUAUUGGAAACGAUAGCUAAUACCGCAUAAUAGUAGAUGUUGCAUGACAUUUGCUUAAAAGGUGCAAUUGCAUCACUACCAGAUGGACCUGCGUUGUAUUAGCUAGUUGGUGAGGUAACGGCUCACCAAGGCGACGAUACAUAGCCGACCUGAGAGGGGGAUCGGCCACACUGGGACUGAGACACGGCCCAGACUCCUACGGGAGGCAGCAGUAGGGAAUCUUCGGCAAUGGACGGAAGUCUGACCGAGCAACGCCGCGUGAGUGAAGAAGGUUGUCGGAUCGUAAAGCUCUGUUGUAAGAGAAGAACGAGUGUGAGAGUGGAAAGUUCACACUGUGACGGUAUCUUACCAGAAAGGGACGGCUAACUACGUG
rnacentral:rRNA from 1 species